rnacentral:tRNA from 1 species
ACCUGGCUAGCUCAUUUGGUUAAGCAUCUGACUUCGGCUCAGGUCAUGAUCCCACAGUCUGUGAGUUCGAGCCCCAUGUCAGGCU